rnacentral:rRNA from 1 species
GACGUAGGGCGCGAGCGUUGUCCGGAUUUAUUGGGCGUAAAGAGCUCGUAGGCGGCUUGUCGCGUCGACCGUGAAAACUCGCAGCUCAACUGCGAGCCUGCGGUCGAUACGGGCAGGCUAGAGUUCGGUAGGGGGGACUGGAAUUCCUGGUGUAGCGGUGAAAUGCGCAGAUAUCAGGAGGAACACCGGUGGCGAAGGCGGGUCUCUGGGCCGAUACUGACGCUGAGGAGCGAAAGCGUGGGGAGCGAACAGG